GGGCUGUGGCUCAGUGGUAGAACAUCUGCUCUGCACGCAGAAGGUUUCAGGUUCAAUCUGCAGCAUCU